GAGAGAGGCCUGCAGCGCUGAAGACUGCUAAUCUUCAUGUACCCGGUUGGAUCCCGGGCUCACUCG
rnacentral:tRNA from 1 species